rnacentral:rRNA from 1 species
AGGGGCUCUGCCCGCCCGAGGAUGGGCCGGCGGCCGAUUAGGUAGUUGGUGGGGUAACGGCCCACCAAGCCCAUAAUCGGUACGGGCAGUGAGAGCUGGAGCCCGGAGAUGGACACUGAGACACGGGUCCAGGCCCUACGGGGCGCAGCAGGCGCGAAACCUCCGCAAUGCUCGAAAGAGCGACGGGGGGACCCCAAGUGCCGUGGUACAACCACGGCUUUUCCGGAGUGUAAGAAGCUCCGGGAAUAAGGGCUGGGCAAGGCCGGUGGCAGCCGCCGCGGUAAUACCGGCGGCCCGAGUGGUGGCCACUAUUAUUGGGCCUAAAGCGUCCGUAGCCGGGCUUGUAAGUCCCUGGCGAAAUCCCACGGCUCAACCGUGGGGCUUGCUGGGGAUACUGCAAGCCUUGGGACCGGGAGAGGCCGGGGGUACUCCUGGGGUAGGGGUGAAAUCCUAUAAUCCCAGGAGGACCGCCAGUGGCGAAGGCGCCCGGCUGGAACGGGUCCGACGGUGAGGGACGAAGGCCAGGGGAGCAAACCGGAUUAGAUACCCGGGUAGUCCUGGCUGUAAAGGAUGCGGGCUAGGUGUUGCUUGGACCUCGAGUCCAAGCAGUGCCGCAGGGAAGCCGUUAACCCGCCGCCUGGG